rnacentral:rRNA from 1 species
UACGAAGGGAGCUAGCGUUGUUCGGAAUCACUGGGCGUAAAAGCGCACGUAGGCGGAUGUGUCAGUCAGGGGGUGAAAAUCCCCGGGAGCUCAAACUUCGGAACUGCCUUUGAUACAGCACAUCUGGAGUCCGGAAGAGGUGGGUGGAAUUCCUAGGUGUAGAGGUGAAAUUCGUAGAUAUUAAGGAAGAACACCGGUGGCGAAGGCGGCCCGACUGGUC